rnacentral:rRNA from 1 species
GAGUAAUGCGUGACCAACCUGCCCCAUGCUCCAGAAUAGCUCUUGGAAACGGGUGGUAAUGCUGGAUGCUCCAACUUGACGCAUGUCUUGUUGGGAAAGUGUUUAGUGGCAUGGGAUGGGGUCGCGUCCUAUCAGCUUGUAGGCGGGGUAAUGGCCCACCUAGGCUUCGACGGGUAGCCGGCCUGAGAGGGCGGACGGCCACAUUGGGACUGAGAUACGGCCCAGACUCCUACGGGAGGCAGCAGNG